rnacentral:rRNA from 1 species
CCUACGGGAGGCAGCAGUAGGGAAUAUUGCUCAAUGGGGGAAACCCUGAAGCAGCAACGCCGCGUGGAGGAUGAAGGUUUUCGGAUUGUAAACUCCUUUUGUUAGAGAAGAUAAUGACGGUAUCUAACGAAUAAGCACCGGCUAACUCCGUGCCAGCAGCCGCGGUAAUACGGAGGGUGCAAGCGGUACUCGGAAUCACUGGGCGUAAAGAGCGCGUAGGCGGGCUAGCAAGUCAGAUGUGAAAUCCUAUGGCUUAACCAUAGAACUGCAUUUGAAACUGUUAUUCUAGAGUAUGGGAGAGGUAGGUGGAAUUCGUGGUGUAGGGGUAAAAUGCGUAGAGAUCAAGAAGAAUACUGAUUGCGAAGGCGGCCUGCUAGAACAUAACUGACGCUGAUGCGCGAAAGCGUGGGGAGCAAACAGGAUUAGAUACCCGGGUAGUC